rnacentral:rRNA from 1 species
GCCCAAAGUGGGUGGUAAACUCCAUCCAAGGCUAAAUACUAACACGAGUCCGAUAGCGAACAAGUACCGUGAGGGAAAGUUGAAAAGUACUUUGAAGAGAGAGUAAACAGUGCGUGAAACCGCUCAGAGGUAAACGGGUGGAGUUGAACUGCAAGCUUUGUGAAUUCAGCUGGUGAGUUUGGCAUGAGCUUGGUCAUGUGGGUUGUAUUUUUGGGUCUGCUUAGCUGCAGGUCCUCGCCUUUGGUGGGGAUGCGCGUAUCACUUGUCAAGUGUUGUGCGCCCGAACGUUGUCGAACCUGCUCGCCAGUGCAUUUUCACAGAGUGUUCACCACGACCGGCGUUGUCGUCUGGCUGUUGCGGUUAAACCGGCUUUGUAGGGUCCUUGUGGCCUUGCAGAGUCGGGAUGGCAGGUAGCCUGUGGUGCAUUUAUGUGCUUCAGGUGUAAUAGCUGACUGCAUCGGUUCUGUGCGGUACGUCGGAGACGGCGGCUUGUUGCGCUUGCGUGCGUGCCUGUUGCGCUGGCGGCUCUGGGUCUGAUUGCCUUGUUGCUUGUAAAUGCAAGCCAGGUGGUGGCUCGGGGUCGUUCGGUGUGCGGUUGCGUGCGUGGUGCUUUGAAAGGGCCCACAGUCUGUGGUGUAGUGGUAGACUAUCCACCCGACCCGUCUUGAAACACGGACCAAGGAGAGUAACAUGUGCGCGAGUCAUUGGGCGUUACGAAACCCAAAGGCGCAGUGAAAGUAAAGGUUCGGCUUGU